CCUACGGGAGGCAGCAGUCGGGAAUUUUGGGCAAUGGGCGAAAGCCUGACCCAGCAACGCCGCGUGAAGGAUGAAAUCCCUCGGGAUGUAAACUUCGCAAGAACGGGAAGAAUAAGUGAGAGUUAAUAUCUCUCGCGAUGACGGUACUGUUUGUAAGCUCCGGCUAACUCCGUGCCAGCAGCCGCGGUAAU
rnacentral:rRNA from 1 species